UACGAAGGGUGCAAGCGUUAAUCGGAAUUACUGGGCGUAAAGCGUGCGUAGGCGGUUUGUUAAGUCUGCUGUGAAAUCCCCGGGCUCAACCUGGGAAUGGCAGUGGAUACUGGCAAGCUAGAGUGUGUCAGAGGAUGGUGGAAUUCCCGGUGUAGCGGUGAAAUGCGUAGAGAUCGGGAGGAACAUCAGUGGCGAAGGCGGCCAUCUGGGACAACACUGACGCUGAGGCACGAAGGCGUGGGGAGCGAACGGG
rnacentral:rRNA from 1 species